rnacentral:lncRNA from 1 species
CCCAUUCUUAUCCAUUCCCUGAAUUUUAAACUUGAUUCACAUCACCAAAAAGGCAAAAACAGUUGCACUAAUAUAACCACAACUUUUAAGCAGUAAAAUAUAAAACAAAAAUAUCAAAAAUUGUCUCUUUCUAAAGUCUCUUUCUGCCCAUUAGAAGUUCCUGGGACUUUCGUCCCGGUUCAAAUUCUUAGAGCUUGAUGCGCUUGAAGGAGCCAUCAUUAUCUUUCUAAAGUCUGUUUUAGCACCCACAGCGAGACCCCAAUAAUAAAUGAAAAGACAAGGUCGAGCCUCGACAAAUUCCUCCAUUUAUUGACAAGUGAAGGUGUGCUAACUAGCGAGCCAACCUUCACUAAGAACUCAAUGGAGUACCCGUUUGCAGAUUCUUUUAUGAUGAUCAACCACCAGUCAAAUAAAUUAUAAAGCUAAUACCUGAUAAAAAGAUAACCAAUUAUUGAGGCUUAAGGAUAAAGAAAAAUGACCAAGAGAUAAGUAAAACUAGGCCAGAAUUCCCAGCCAGUCGGGACAAAGACUUGAUUGGGUUGAAUACAUGAUUGUUAUAAGGAAAUUAUGUGCUCUCACUACCUUUUGAAAGAAGAAAAGAAAAGGGAAGUUGAAUAGGCUACGUCAGUGGGGUGCAAUAAUGGGCAUAUCAGGUACGAGUGACAGUACCACAAAUUGAGUUUCCCAUCAUGAUGACCAUGGCACCUGAAGCAUUCAAAAACUAUGACUUGUACUUGAGGUGAUUGGUAGCCAAUUAGCCAUUGGAUUGCACACGAAAGACACGCGCUCCCUGUUAGCAGGGUCCCGCUGCAGGAACCCACCGUGCGCCUCUGUUUUCUUUGUCUUCCAACUUUUUAACCUGUCCAACGGAUAAUACAGGGCAUUUGGUAUCAAAUGGUGCAUAUGUUAAAUCAAGUACCCCUUCGUGCAAGGCCUUGGCCGAUAAUUGUGGGUGGUGUCCCAAUUACUUGUGUUCGUGGGUAAAUGCAUUCCCAAAACCCCUAGAGUUUUAUGAAUUUUUAUGAGCAAGAUUUGCUAUUUGAAGGGCAUAAGGGGUAAAAUAGCGGGAUAAGGCCAUAAUUACAGAAAGAUAAGAUAUGUUGACAUGCACCAGCUUCUUAAGUGGGCAAUAUCUUUCAGUAGAAUCAGUAAUAUUCAUACAUUUUACUGUUGCAAGAGUCUCCAACUAGCAAGCUUUUCUUUUCUAAAGACGACAAGAACGCAUAAAGUACACCUUUUUCAAGUAUUCUUCUUUUUCAUUGCAUUUUUUAGAGACACUAGCAUUUCUUUUUCUUCCUUUUUUUUAUCGACUAAUUCUAUGGGAUACUUGUCACCUUUUACCAGCAACAGAUAGCACAUAACUCUAAUCCACUAAGGCUAGGACAGCCGGAAAGAAAUCACCUCGUAUUUUUUUUGUCUCUGCUAGGAUCAUGAUAGCUAGGCCACACCCUUGGACCGAAACACAUGCAUCUCAAAGGUGUACCAAAUGAGAGUACACGAAACAGAUUUUGAUCGACAUCUAAGGCAUAAAUUUUCUACGAGGACUUCAAUUGAAAAUCUGAAGGUAUAAACAUGAAGUGAAACCAGGAAUCUUUCCCACUUUUGAAGUAUGUGUAGUAUUUUCCACCUAUGUUGCUCGGACUCUCCAAAAUUAUCGACGGAUGGGUGACAAAUCCUCCAAAAGUACAAUAUUUUUGGAGGAUCAACACUGGUGCGGAAACAUUUUUUUAGAGUCCAGGAAAGAGUCUCCCAUCUUAGUAGAUUGCCUAUUGCCGAUUGCCGAGCAAGUACAGAAAUUGUUGUUUUCCUUUAAUAUUGGAAAAUUUGACCAAUUUAGAGUACCAUGUAUAUAAAACACAACCAAAAGAAAGCAAAACAAGAAGAUCAGAGAAUUAAAGUACUAGGUCUAGUUCAAGCAGAAUCCUCGAUACAAGGGGAAUCCAAAUGUACCGUAUAUGUAUAAGUACACACUACAAUGAUCUAUAUAUGGUCUAUAUCAAUCACCUGAGCAGUAUUGGUCACACAGGAAAAGGCUUUCAUUUAAAAGCUAAAGUAUAAAGUAUAGGACGGAAAGAAAAUACAACAAAGGCACAACAAUUUGAAGACAUGAAAAGAAAGAGGAGUCAAUAUUUGGGUAAUUAUAUUGUGGACUAUUCAGUCCACUCAACAGACCCACCUGAAAGGGGGAGGAGCAUUAUCCCUAAGGACUGAGGAAGUUCUGGUUUUGGAUGCAUUGCAAAUUUUUUUUUUUCAUAGUGGAAGACUGGAUUUCAAAGCCCAUCCAUAUCUUACCACCUCUUCCUUCCACCACCAACCGAAAAAUAAGACUUUAACCGUAUGAGUAAAUUUAAGUUGUGACUAAUAUGAGAUAUAACUUUAUAUUACACCAUUGCGUACAGCUAAGAAAUUUUAACCUCCAAGAAACAGAAGUCAGAGGAAAAUGCAGUGAAUAAUUGCUGCAACAUCAGAAAGGCGAGUUCUUGUAGAGACCAUAAGGAACCCUAUAAGAAAUUCGGAGCAAAGCUUUAGAUCUCCCUCGACUUUAAUAAGCCCUAUUUUUAUGGCACCUCAACUAAUUCCACGGGAUACCUGCCACCUCUUACCAACAACAUAUACUAGGAAACUCUAUCCACCAAGACUGGAAUAGAUGAGAAAAAUCACUUACUAGUUUUUUUUGUCUCUAUUGGUUUUGAACUUGAGACCUCAUGGAUCUCAACCACUUUAUUAACCACUAGGCGACACUCUUGAAUGCUUGACUUUAAUAAGCUUAAGUUAUGCUUAUUGUCCUUUUUCGGGAAAAUUAUUAAACGCUUUACUGGUCUUAAAAAGAGAAAUUUUGUUAUACAAAGCUGGGAGAAGCUCAAUGUGUUAUCUUCAGAUUACAAUCUUGAGCGAAUGUUUUCAAUAAUAGAAGAAUGAAGCAAAAUCAAUAAGAAUCACUAGUUAUUUUAAACAAAUAAAGCAGCUUGAUACUGCCCAAUCAGAUUUCAUGAAUGCUUUGAAAUAUUAAAUCUAGUUGAUAAUGAGUUUAUUUUCCUAAAUUCAUUUCAAUGAACUUAGAUCUUGAACUAGAUGCCAUACCAUUAGAUUGGAUAUCAAUCACAUUUACCGAACUUUACUCCAGCUUUAUCACAUAUGAUAAAGAAAGUGGAUACAACAAACUCUGCAGAAUAUCACCAUUCACUGAUGACAACGUAGAGUUAUUAUGGUGACUAAUGCAACUAGUAUGAAUAUGAAGCACCUCAUAUUCAGGCCUAAAUUGCCACAAGUGAUUUUAAGCCGGUAUUGUUAUGCAUAGGAGAGGAACUAUGAACCAUAUUAUAUUUAUUACUUAAAUAAUGUUGUGGUUGUUGAGUCAUCAACUUAUUAAGUGUAUGAUCUUUCCACUUAUAGUCACCUUCCCAAACAUCAUAAACUAUUCUUUUACGGCAGUGACCAUUGCUGUCAAAAACCAUCAUAGAAUGAAAACAUCAUGGAUUGUAUUGCCCUGGCAAUAAUGCUGAGUUGGUCUACCUGGUCACCCUUUAUGUCGAGUAUGUGUCCAUGUAGCAGAUUAAGUAAAACAUAUGUUCAUUGAGUAAAUAACCUCUCCUUAUGACCCUAAGAUGUUAUCAUAAGCACAUGCACAUGUUCAGGAUUAUAUUAUGAUGAUUUCAUUUUCAAGGAACUUUACUGUAUCUAAUUGAUACAAUAUGGGACCGUCUAACUUUUUCCUAAUCCUAUAAGUAGUCCCCCUUCUGCUCACGUUACCAUUCGCCUCCAAAGCCAAUUUCUUUUGCUUGACCCUCCAUUAAGAUCUAAAUCCAAAAAUUGUCCUUGUUUACUCACAUACUUUUAAGCCAUGCAACCCACUGAUGUCACAGACUUCUACUACCUACUUCCUUCUAACUCAACUCAAUUCCCAUCUCAAUCCUGUGCGAACUAUAACACGUCCACAUUUCAGCUAAAUAGGCUCUUGAACCCUUUAUGUCAUCUUCAGAUCACUCCCCAAGUUCAAGACCUCAAUCCACAACUAACAUGUUUCAACAGUAACUCUACAUCAGACGAAGCUGAUGAGCAACAGUUAACUCUAAUAAAUGAACGUAAACAGAGAAGAAUGAUAUCUAAUAGAGAGUCUGCAAGGAGAUCACGAAUGCGCAAGCAGAGGCACCUAGAUGAGCUUUGGGCACAGGUUGUUUGGCUCCGAAAUGAGAAUCACCAGCUCCUGGACAAACUAAAUCAUGCUUCUGAGCGUCAUGAUCAAGUACUUCAAGAAAAUGCUCAACUCAAAAACGAAGCUUCAGAACUUCGUCAAAUGAUCACUGACAUGCAGCUUAGUAGUCCUUGUCCCAUCUCAAGAGCUCUUGAGAAUGAACCUUGCAGUGGUUUACCUCAAAAUGAAUAACUUAUUCAGAUUAUUAUGGAAGCUAUGCUCAUAGGGAUAAGGCCGUUGUCUUGAUUUCCUUGUUAGAUAUUUGUAUGGUGGCCACAGUUUGAGUUUUUCCUUUUCUCUUUUGUUGACACGAUGAAGGCUAUGAUUUGGUUUUUACUGCAUCUCCUUCUUGUGCUGUAUGCUACUCAAUAAAAAAUUCCCUUCUUUAUGCUGUUCAUGAUGCUAGUUUCACUAUAGAUACAUUAACAAAUAAAGAAGAAAAUCUAUCUCUAUUCAUAAAGAAGAAAAGGUAAGAGACCAUGAGAUAGCAACUGACAUAUGCAAGUAUAUACCGGGUAGACUUUUUAAAAUCACUAAUGAAUCUGCAACUGAAAAAAUGGGAAGAGAAACAUCAGUACACUUCCACUAAAGCAGCUUUGUCAAUGGAAUUGGCCAACUACAGUAAGAAUAUGUUUUCUUCCUUGAAAGUUGAAUGUCAAGGAAGAUAGCUAAAUGGGACGACAGGAGAGAGAGGGUUGUGCCUGUCAGGUUUGUUUAUGGUAAGCAUAGCCAUAACAGGAGAAACAUGUCAAAAGCAAUCCACUGAGAUCAAUAUCCACUGUUCCUAGCUUUCAUUGUUAUCUUCAUAAUUUCAGACUUCAUUAUAUUAUCACAAUCUAAUCGCAUUAGAUUCACAACUAUAGUAACUGUGAAUCAAUCCAACUUCUUCCUUAUGAUAUAGGCAAAGAAGAGCAGAUUCCAUGGAGGGCAGGGCAUCAACAAUUACCAAUACACUAAUCAACAAGCUCCCACAACAGUGUGAACUCCUAUUCUACUAUUUCUUAUCAAUAUUUUUUCUUCCUGUUGUACUACAGGCAUCACCUUCCUUUUUAGUAAUUUAAGCUGGUUCCUCCUCUCAAUUAAAACCUGAACUAUUGAAAAAUGUAAAUAUAUCAUACUGUUUAACAAUCACCUGCUAGGCAUAUCACAUCUCUUCUCCGGAAUUUACAUUCUUUAUUGUGUUAAAACUAAUUCACAAGGUAGAUCAGUUUGGCAAGGCAUUAAGUAACAACAUAAUCCUUAGGCAACUCAAUGUCUUUCUCUUGACGUUGUCUGCUAAUCAAGUAAUCAACUAUAUUAAAUAUAAGUAGACUGCAGAAACCCAAAGUUUCGUCUUUUUUCUUAAAAUAUGUUUCCCAUAAAUCCAAAGUUUGUGUAUGCAUGACAGCAUGAGCCAGUAAAUAAAUAACUACAUUCAGUCACCCAGUAAUUGUUGUUCUUUAUAGUCUGGCUGUUCUUGCGAGAAAAUUCACAGAUCUUAUCCAAAAUUUUAGAAGUAUUUCAAUAGCACGUUUUCUCCUUUAGUGUUGCUGUUAGAUCCUAGAGAGCUCAACAUAAUUAAUUAAAUCUCAUCUUUUUGUUGUUUAAAAGGAGAAAGAAAUGGAUGAUCAAGAAGGUCGUACUUGUUCCUUAAAGAUAAUAGAGUCAUGCUGUUGCUUUAUGGAAUGGUCAUCUUCUAUAAGCAAGGCCAUAGUCCUAGUGAAAUAUAAAACUAAGUUUACCAUCCUCAAAAAGCCUCUUGUGGGGCAGCAGACCGAUGUCUACGUGUGUUGUGUGGUAGAUAUAAUAGUAAGAAACUUUUUAAUACAACAGGCUUACGCAAUUAUAUGUGCUGAAUUUGUGUUUGUACGUCACUGUUACUCCUCGAAUAAUAUUUCCAAAUGUUUGGCCAAGAAAAUAAUUAAGCCCACACCAUUAAGAUCCUACACCUUAUAUGUAGCUUCUCACUCCCUCUAGCUAUAAUGUGGGACUUUGAUUCGCACACCCAACACUUCUAUUGUUCAGAGAUAUCAAAAAAGACAAAGAAAAACAUCUGAAAUAAUUUGGCAAAAGUUGCCAUCUUCAGCAAAAAGGUAUUGGAUUGGUUAUAUACAUUUCCAGCGAGUCCUCGUUGGUGGUAUAACAUUACUCAAUUUAAACAAGUUAUUAGUUGUUUAACUCGGAAAAUGAAUCAUGUGGGCACGAUCUAUAUCCAAAAAAGGAGGUUUGAACUCAGUAGCUUCAUGAAACAAUCAACUUCACUACGACAAUAUAAUUUACAAAACGCAAACUACUGAUGUCACCGGAUCAAAAUCAAAAUUGCCUAAUUUUCAGGCGAUACUACAAGUAUGUUCGCUAUAUCCCUUCAACGAAGAAUAGACAAAGUGAAAUUAAUUACUGUAAGUUGCGCUACAGUGUCUGUCUACAGAUAGAAGAUAAAUCAGCAUAGCUAACUCGUAAUAACAAUUUAUCGUCUGAGGUUUUCACGCUUAUGAAUUUUAGCGGAACAGUGCAUUAUUUGAAAUCUCAGGAGAUGUGGAGAGCUAAUCGGGGAUUACCUGUGAUUGGGAUUAGAAUCUGAUUUUCAUACUGUGAUGGAACUCAUAUGGAAGACGGUGAAAUGUUGGUGAUAACAAACUUGGUGCACAUUCCAGAGCAGCUUGAGAUUAUGAAAUUUACCGGCUCUACAAAAGAAUUGGAGUAUCAAUUAGGAAGUCUCGUCCCCGCGG